GGCGGGGCGAUCCGGCCAAUCAGGGGAGAAGAAUGAGAAGCGCGCGCAGGAGCCCGCAAGCCCGAAGGGCCAAGGAGGCGCUUUGAUUAUUUGUGCGCCUGCGCAGUAGACCAGAGUGUAGCGGCGAGGGCUUUCUCUUGAGGCUGUGCAGCUCACACAACAGGGCCAGGAAACUCCCACCGCUCAACGGACACUGUUACUCUCUGGCGGCUGCAGCCGCUGCCUCCGCGGCCGCUGCUAAGUCCUCGAGAGCCCGACGCGCGACCAAGUGGCUGGCAGCCAUCUUGCAGUGUCUUACAGGAUGCGCAUGCGCCAGCUCCUGCUAGCCAUUCACUACGCAGACUCCCAGACCGAACAAUAUUUUACACUCCCCUUGGACGAUACCACUCACAGCCGCUUGACUAUUUGGAUUAUAGGAAGAGGAAGUAAAUGAAGUGAAACGAAAAAUUUCCCUGUAAAAUUUUCGAGACGAGGAAACAAUAAAAGGCAAGUUGUGAUGUCA